UACGUAGGGUGCGAGCGUUAAUCGGAAUUACUGGGCGUAAAGCGUGCGCAGGCGGUUAUGUAAGACAGUUGUGAAAUCCCCGGGCUCAACCUGGGAACUGCAUCUGUGACUGCAUAGCUAGAGUACGGUAGAGGGGGGAUGGAAUUCCGCGUGUAGCAGUGAAAUGCGUAGAUAUGCGGAGGAACACCGAUGGCGAAGGCAAUCCCCUGGACCUGUACUGACGCUCAUGCACGAAAAGCGUGGGGAGCAAACGAGG
rnacentral:rRNA from 1 species